rnacentral:rRNA from 1 species
UGCAAGUCGAACGCACUCUCGUUAGAUUGAAGAAGCUUGCUUCUGAUUGAUAACAUUUGAGUGAGUGGCGGACGGGUGAGUAACACGUGGGUAACCUGCCCUAAAGUGGGGGAUAACAUUUGGAAACAGAUGCUAAUACCGCAUAAAACCUAGCACCGCAUGGUGCAAGGUUGAAAGAUGGUUUCGGCUAUCACUUUAGGAUGGACCCGCGGUGCAUUAGUUAGUUGGUGAGGUAAAGGCUCACCAAGACCGUGAUGCAUAGCCGACCUGAGAGGGUAAUCGGCCACACUGGGACUGAGACACGGCCCAGACUCCUACGGGAGGCAGCAGUAGGGAAUCUUCCACAAUGGACGAAAGUCUGAUGGAGCAACGCCGCGUGAGUGAAGAAGGUUUUCGGAUCGUAAAACUCUGUUGUUGGAGAAGAACGUAUUUGAUAGUAACUGAUCAGGUAGUGACGGUAUCCAACCAGAAAGCCACGGCUAACUACGUGCCAGCAGCCGCGGUAAUACGUAGGUGGCAAGCGUUGUCCGGAUUUAUUGGGCGUAAAGCGAGCGCAGGCGGUUUCUUAAGUCUGAUGUGAAAGCCUUCGGCUCAACCGAAGAAGUGCAUCGGAAACUGGGAAACUUGAGUGCAGAAGAGGACAGUGGAACUCCAUGUGUAGCGGUGAAAUGCGUAGAUAUAUGGAAGAACACCAGUGGCGAAGGCGGCUGUCUGGUCUGUAACUGACGCUGAGGCUCGAAA